rnacentral:misc_RNA from 1 species
UCUCCGUUGGUGAACCAGCGGAGGGAUCAUUACAGAGUUGCAAAACGCCCAAACCAUUGUGAACGUUACCUAUCCCGUUGCUUCGGCGGACGGCCCGGGCCCCGCGCCCGGCGCCCCCCGGCCCCCCGUGGGCGCCCGCCGGAGGUAAACCAAAUCCUUGAAUUGCAUGGCCUCUCUGAGUCUUCUGUACUGAAUAAGUCAAAACUUUCAACAACGGAUCUCUUGGUUCUG